UACGUAGGGUGCGAGCGUUAAUCGGAAUUACUGGGCGUAAAGCGUGCGCAGGCGGUUUUGCAAGACAGAUGUGAAAUCCCCGGGCUUAACCUGGGAACUGCAUUUGUGACUGCAAGGCUAGAGUGUGUCAGAGGGAGGUGGAAUUCCGCGUGUAGCAGUGACAUGCGUAGAGAUGCGGAGGAACACCGAUGGCGAAGGCAGCCUCCUGGGAUAACACUGACGCUCAUGCACGAAAGCGUGGGGAGCAAACAGG
rnacentral:rRNA from 1 species